rnacentral:rRNA from 1 species
UACGAAGGGGGCUAGCGUUGCUCGGAAUCACUGGGCGUAAAGCGCACGUAGGCGGCUUUCUAAGUCAGGGGUGAAAUCCCGGAGCUCAACUCCGGAACUGCCUUUGAUACUGGAAAGCUUGAGUUCGGGAGAGGUGAGUGGAACUGCGAGUGUAGAGGUGAAAUUCGUAGAUAUUCGCAAGAACACCAGUGGCGAAGGCGGCUCACUGGCCCGAUACUGACGCUGAGGUGCGAAAGCGUGGGGAGCAAACAGG